AUAUUUUGUUCAUUUCUUCAAAUAUAUAUUUUAUUUAGGGAUAAUUGCCCAUAUACCCCUCAUACGUUUGAAAAUAUCAGAUUUACCCCUGCUUUUUUUUUUCUAAAAUACUUCUCAUAUGUUCCAUCGUUAUUGCAAAAUACCCCCGCAGUUAUCCUCUGUUAAGUUAACUUGGGUUAAAUGUGAGUUAAAUAUCUACCGCAGUUAAAAAAAAUUAAUAUGCCAAUUUUGCCCUUAACUUAAGGGCAAAUAAGAAAUGUUGGUGACAGUAGAGGGGUAUAUUUGAAAAGACCAAAAGUCAAAAUACUUUUUGUGCCCCUGACUUAAGGGCAAAUAAGAAAAGUCGGUGAUGGUUGAAGGGUAUAUUUGAAAGGGCAAAAUAGCAAUUUUAUACAGAAAAUAGAGUUCAUUAACAGAUUUUAACUCGAGGGGUAUAUUUGAAAUAGGCUGGAACGUAAAAAGGGUAUUUUCAAUAUUAGCCUUCUAAGAGGGGUAAAUCAGAAAGUCGGAAACUUUUCAGGGGUAUAUAAGCAAAAGCUCCUUGUUAGGUGCCGAAUUCCCUGAUCUUCGACCCGGUCAAAAAUCUCUCUCCGGAAGAGCGUCGAGAUGCGGAACGGCUACGAUUAGUAACCCUCGAAGUUUGCGCCCUUCGACUGAAUCAAGCGAUUCGGCUGAUGAGGGAUCGGACCAGCCGAGUUCGAAAAUAUCUACUGUGGUAUCGGUUCGGCUGGAUAAGCCGAAUGUACGAAAAACACUGAAAUUUGGGUCGGCCGAUGAGCUGAAUGCCUUUAUAUAUUGAAGUUAACUUGCGAAAACAAUACAAAGGUCGAGUGUGCCUGAGGGCAUACAGACUCGGUUGAUCUAGCUUAAUUCUACUCCUAGGGAAAAAAUAGUGGGUGCGAGAAAAUAAAGGAUUACGAGUAGACUACUCCUAGGAAAUAUGUCACGCCCCGGGACCGGCCUAUUUGGUCGGUUCGGGCACGUCGAACAGACGCCGAACGAACAACACCUCUCCUGUCCGCCCAAGGCUCAACACAAGUAUAAAUCAUGUAUAUAUGAAUUCUACACAGCGGAACAAAGAUAUACAUGGCUUGCACGAGAGCAAGCAAUAGCCAAAAGUGAAACUACUAAACUACACAAUAUACAAGUACAAUGAUUAACUUUUAAUCACUUACAAGCAUACAACAUUCACAUUUACAUUCUUUUCAUCAUUUCUUUUACAUCACAUAAACUCCCGAAAUUACAUAACAUAUUUUCAUCCAAAAACUUAAGCUUUUACAUCUAACAUAAGCUCUUUUUACAUCGUUCAUAAUACUAAAAUCAUCAAAUACAAAAGAUGAUAUAACGAGGGUACGAACU
rnacentral:lncRNA from 1 species